rnacentral:lncRNA from 1 species
UGGACAUAUCCAACAAUACCAAGAGCUUCGAUAGGAGAAAUCCCUUUUAGCCUAGCCUUUGGGAUGGAAGUAGUGAUUUUUAUUGAAAUUGAGGCCCCGUCAGCAUGAGUUGAGAACUAUGACAAGUUGAUUAACUAAAAAAGGCUACGUACUGAUCUAGAUCUAUUUGAGAAAAUUCGAGAAAGAGUGCGUAUUUGAAUGGUGGCUUAUCAGCACA